UGGCGGCACUAGCGCGGUGGUCCCACCUGACCCCAUGCCGAACUCAGAAGUGAAACGCCGUAGCGCCGAUGGUAGUGUGGGGUCUCCCCAAGUGAGAGUAGGGAACUGCCAGGCA
rnacentral:rRNA from 1 species